rnacentral:lncRNA from 1 species
AUGGAUGUGAAAGCCUUUCAUUGCAAAGCGGGCUUUUUUGUUGGCAACGCGGAAGAGCAGAUCCCGCAGGCUCGACUCCCGGCUCGCCCGGUCCGUCGGGGAGGUGAGAGCUGGCAAAGAUGCAGGCAGGGAAGGAAAGGGCUGCGACAUCCCCCAGGAGGUCACAGUCAACGAUUAAGGAUAAUUUAUUUUCUUUUCUUUCUUCCUUCCCUUCCUUCCUUUCUCUCUUGUUCUUUUUUUCUCAUUCUUUCAUUCUUCAUCAAUCUUUCUAGUUUUCCUUACUUUUUUCCUCUCCCUUUUCCUUUUCUUUCCUUUCAUCUUCCUUUCCCUUAUUUCCUUUUUUCUUCCUUUUUUCCUUCCUUCCCUUCCUCUCCCUCUCAUUCCUUUUCUCUCAUUCCUUCACUCUUUCUCAUUCUUUCCUUCUCUCUCAUUCUUUUUCAUCCUGUUUUUCUUUUCUUUCCUUCUUUCUCUCUCCUUUUCUCUUUUUUCCUUUUCUUCUCUCUCCCUUUUUCCCUUUCUAUCUCUCUCUCUGUUUUUCUUUCUUUCCUUCUUUCUCUGUCUAUCUAUCUAUCCAUCGCAGCUAGGAAGCAUUUUAUUUCCCACACACUUGUGCCCAGCGCAAAAUGCAGCCUUCCCGGGCGGCAGCCGCUCCCUGCACCGUCUCCGCCAGCCCCGCGGGAGGCAAAGCCACGCGGCGCGGAUGCGGCACGGAUGCGGAUGCGGCAGCCCCCUGCUGCUGCAAGCUGAGGCCUGGGAUAACUCGUUCCACUCAAAACCCCUGGCCCGUCACUGUCACCUGGGAGCGUGUCGACCGAUUCCAGGAGGCUCCAACUUUUGUUAGGGCAGCGUGAGCCGGCUGCGACGCUCGGUCAGAGCCUGCCUGCGUCACGGGCAGAUCCGUCGGGAUCCCAUCUCUCCGGGAUGCUAGAGCCUGUUAACGGGAAAAGCGCUAACCUGUGCCCGGGUGCUCGGCUCGAGCCGCUCCAGGACCCCCCCGGACCGCGAAAUCGCGUUUCAGCCAGCACAGACGCUCACCCCUACCAGAUCCGCUGCCUGCCUUAUGCCGAGCAGCAGCACAGUUUGGUUUUCCAGGUUUUUAGCCAAAACAGCCGCGAGGCCAGCCCAAAAGACGGAAGAGAAACUCCCGAAACGGCCGCGUUCACCAGCUUCCCGGCAGUGACGAAACUCCGUCGUUUUACCAGCAACCUUUGGAGCGCUUUUCGAUAAAAAGCAAGACCGGUGACUACUGACAAAACUACAAAAGUCCUUCGGCUGCAUCGGCCUUUUAAAUGACGCUACAGUCAAACAGGCGCCCAAAAUUCUCUUUUUUGCAGUGGCUGCAGCCCGAGGCGACAUCCCUGCACCCAACACGGCUGCAGCGAGCGACGAAUUAUUACUAUACGCGUUUUUUCCACCCCGUGCGCUCGAAUUAAGCAUGCUUUUCGGGGGCGACCCCCCAAAUCCCCAUCGAAGCGCCACGAGGAAGGCUCUGCGGCGGGCAGGAGCUCUUCUUCUCGCCCACCAACAAGACGAGCCCCGGGAGACAGGGCUACAUUUUCAUCCCGAGGUUAUAAUCUGAAUUUUCCUUUCUAAAACCCGGUGCAAAAGCUGCUCUGAUACCCACUUAUUUACGUACCUUCGGAGAUGCACAGGCCACGUGCUCCAGCUUAAUCGCAGCAAGGUGCAAUAUAUGUUAAUAGCAUAUAUUGAUACCCCCCGUCUCGCUCACCACUUUGAGGCGGUUUCCCGGCAAGAGCGAGUUAUAUGAAUUAGCAGCACUAAAUAAACUAAUAGCCGGAGGAAAAAGGAGAACGCGC